ensembl:snRNA U6 U6 spliceosomal RNA
GUGCUCACUUCGGCAGCACAUAUGCUAAAAUUGGAAUGAUACAGAGAUUAGCGUGGUCCUUGUCCAAGGAUGAUACCCCCCAAAAAGGGGAAAAGUUUAUACAU